rnacentral:rRNA from 1 species
AGGGCACCACCAGGAGUGGAGCCUGCGGCUUAAUUUGACUCAACACGGGAAAUCUCACCAGGCCCGGACACCGGAAGGAUUGACAGAUUGAGAGCUCUUUCUUGAUUCGGUGGGUGGUGGUGCAUGGCCGUUCUUAGUUGGUGGAGCGAUUUGUCUGGCUAAUUCCGAUAACGAACGAGACUCUGGCCUACUAACUAGAUGGAGGAUCCCUUCGUGGGUUCUUCACUGCUUCUUAGAGGGACGGGCGGCGUUUAGCCGCACGAGAUUGAGCAAUAACAGGUCUGUGAUGCCCUUAGAUGUUCUGGGCUGCACGCGCGCUACACUGAAGGAAUCAGCGUGUCCUCCCCGCUCUGAAAAGAGUGGGUAACCCGUUGAAACUCCUUCGUGAUGGGGAUUGGAGAUUGUAAUUAUUCUCCAUGAACGAGGAAUUCCCAGUAGGCGCGAGUCAUCAGCUUGCGUCGAUUACGUCCCUGCCCUUUGUACACACCGCCCGUCGCUACUACCGAUCGAGUGAUUGAG